CUGACCAGAAAGUGAUCUUCUGUUUAGAACUGCGAUUAUGCAGAAGGUCCGUCUGUCUUCCUUUGAUAUUCACCUGUGAAAAGAAAGUGACAGGGUGAGGAAACUAAGAUUAAGACGUGUUCAGAGCUGAGAUUCAAGACUGGAACUCUACCAUCACCUUUCCUGGGUCUCCAGCAUGCCUAUUGUAGAUAUUGGGGCUUCUCAGCCCUCAUAACCAUAAUUAUUCAAAGCCUUCAAAGGGUUCUGCAUAGCAAACAACAGACAUGAAACCGUGAACAAGCAAACUAAAGGGAGCCUUAAUACAUUCACCCUAUGUGAGACCAGCCAGAAUGAGGACUCCUCAAGGAC
rnacentral:lncRNA from 1 species